rnacentral:rRNA from 1 species
GGAUUAGAUACCCUGGUAGUCCACGCCGUAAACGAUGUGCACUAGAUCGGUGGCGGUCUGACCCGUUGCCGGUCGUAGAGAAAUCACUAAGUGCACCGCCUGGGGAGUACGGUCGCAAGGCUAAAACUCAAAGGAAUUGACGGGGGCUCACACAAGCGGUGGAGCAUGUUGCUUAAUUCGAAGCAACGCGAAGAACCUUACCAGGGUUUGACAUGCACGGAUUAGUUCUUGGAAACAGGAAUGACGCUCUUUGAGUGGAACGUGCACAGGUGCUGCAUGGCUGUCGUCAGCUCGUGCCG